UCAAAACCCAGCAGAGUGCAAGCAGCAGUGAAGCAGGAUGUAUGUGGCCUUGAGGAUAAUCUGCACUGGUCUGCCUUCUGCUUCCCUGGAAAGGAUGAAUUUACAUCUUUUGUCAAGCCUAUUUCAAGUUUUUUGUUGUCGGUUGUUUGUUUGCUUGUUUUUGUUUUUGCAGCCUAAAAUAAAAUUGUCAAAUACA